UUUCAGUAUUGUUCUGUGUUCAAACCAAUGAACAUCGCUUGUCCUUCCUUGUUUUGCGUCAUAAAAUGUCUUCGUUUCGAAUUGAGCUGUGGACGCGACCAAACCACUCACUCGUUGAUGUCUCUGGCAUUGCUAUCAUUGCAUCAUACUGACGCCAUUGCAUUAAUGUUUUGAGCUACGCAAUUGUGUGGGGAAUCAUCAAGCUAGGCUAUCGUCGGCCCACCAAGGAAAUAAAUGUUCUGGAAUUUUGUCAGUGAUUUGAUUUCGCAAAACUAUCUCCACAAAGGAUGAGAGGACAUUGGAAUUACAUAGAACGAUGUAAACAAUCAUGAUUGCUAUGGCAACGAACGACCGCUUUUAGCAUUGGUUGUAAAUGAAACACUCAAACGCAAAAUGGAACCAGAAAAAUCAAGUUCCAAUUUUUUAUCUAUCAAAAACCCCCAAGACGAUUUGAUUCAACAGCGAAUUGUGGAUAUUCGAAGACAGUUAGAUCAUACAUACAAAAUUUUCGUUGAUGCGAAAGAGGAGUUAUCCAACAUUUCGUUCGAAAACCUUAGUGAGAAGCUGAAUGUAGAAACGGUGAACAUUCUUCAACCGGAAGAACUCGUCGUUGGAGCUAAUAAAGAAAUCGACAUUGCUAAAUCAUUGGAAAAGCUGAACGAAAUGACAAACACCAAAAAUAAUUUACAGCUCGAGAAAAUUCCAGAGCUUGAUAAAUUCUUCCGAGUGAUGAUCGAUUUGAAGGAAGGAAUAAAGAAAAUCAAUAUGCACCAGGAAUCUAUCAGCAAAUUGAACGCCGAUAUCGAUUCAUUUACGGAAUCUGUUCAUAAACGCAAUCUUGACGAGUAUUUUUCGAAAUGUUCGAUAAACAACGAAUGAAUUUGUGCCGUAAUACUCACCAUCACAUUUAGUAACUUCAUGCAUCGCAUCAGCAUCCUCGAGGCUAAAUAUAUCACCGUUUGCUACCACAGGAAUGGACAAACUGUUCUUGAUCUCCCUCAGCGCAUCCUUAUUCACAGAUUCCCAUGAUUUUUGUAACAGCCGUACCUUCACCGAAACGCUGAAUGAAUUUGGUAGAUUUCUCCGGGCCGUGGCCAGCAUAUCAGCGAUCAACUCGGGCGUUUUAAGUAAAGCACUUCCGUAUCCAUCGGACAUCGCCCAGCGCUGAGGACAUCCACAGUUUAGGUCUACUCCAUCAACAUAUCUAUUGAAACAUGUAAUAAACAAUUUUGAAAAUCGCACUUUACUUUGAG